AUAAGUUCUCCCUCACAGAAGAAUACAAGUAACGAGCCCAUUUCCUCCUCCUUCUUUUCUCCUCCUCUAAUCUUUCACUAAUCUUGCACUAAUAUUCCCACAUGGGCUACUAGUUCAUCUCUUUUCUAAAAGACUGUAUGUGAAGUCAAAUAUGAAGUAGGAGUUGACAUAUUCUGGCUUCAUUUCAAGAAAAGGAACAAAACGACUCAAAGAUUUCUGAUGGAUUAGUUAAGAUAUGACUCGAGGCAGAGGUCGAGGUAGUGCAGGUCGUAUAAACAAGUCCGCUGCUAGGGGUAAUUCAGCUACUCAUAGGAACAUUCCUACUAUUCCCAUUCCAACAAUUAGUCAUCAACAAGGUGAUACGAGUUCCUCAAGUCGGCCAAGUCAUAUUAAUCAAGUUCAAAUAUUAGGUCCUAGUAGUACACCUCCAAUUCAAACAUCGGGUAAUAGUAGUCUUGGCCAGCGAACUCUUGUUUUUCUUUCUUCUACAGGGAUAGAACCUUCUAGAUUAUGCUCUGAGUAUACAUUUGAAAAUUUCAAGCAUGAACUUCAUCCUAAUGGAAUCAAUUGGAAAGGUGUCCCAAAAGAGACAAGAGAAUUUUACUUUGGAGAAUUCAAGAAGGAAUUCUAUUGGGAUUCUUUGAUUGAUAGAGAAGUGAAGCGACUGUGGGAAAGUAAGGCAGCGAGAACUUCAUCAACCAGAUUUUGUUCCAGAAAAUGUGUGGGACAAUUGGAUGAAACUAUGGAAGGAUCCUAAGUGUGUCAAAAAAUCAGAAAUAAAUGCAAAAAAUCAUUGUGACGGUGGGACCGAUGUCGCCAUUGGGACUCACACGGGCGGCUCUGUCACCAUUGGGGAACAUCGCAAGAGACUUGCUAUUGAAAAGGGUCGAGAUCCAACACCAAGUGAGCUACAUUUGCACGUCCAUACACAUGGUCAUGAUGAAAAAUCUUUUGUUAGUGAGCGAUCCCGACUUGUACAUGAAAAAUAUCAACAAAUAUUACAACAACAAACACAAACUCAAUCUGAUAUUGAUCAAUCUCUAGCAUUUUAUCAAGCCGCGGGAGGGGAAAAGAAGAGAAGAAUAUAUGGUCUUAUUUUUAUGGGCCAAAUCUUCGUGCCUCUUCUGGAUCGGGUGCUUCAUCAUCAACAACACCUCCGAAUGCUCAGUCAGCAUCAAUGGCGAAUUUGGAUGAGCUAGUGAUGCGAUUGAUUCCUGCAUUGAUUGAUCAUAUGGUUCCUGUACUGACUAAUCACAUGCUUCCUGUGUUGGCUGAGCGAGUAAGAGGAUUGAUAGCUUCACCAUCACAUCUGCAAGAUAAUCAUACUGAUCACCCAUCAGAUUUGGUACCUCCAGUUCCUCCUAAUAUUAACGAGGUUCAUGCACCGCUCUCUGAUGAUGACCUUCACUCUCCAGUCUCUCAGUAGUUAACUAUUUUCAUUUGAACUUUAUUUUGGUAUUGUAGAUGUUUUGGUAUUAAUGAGGUUCAUGCAUCGCUUUCUGAUGAUGACCUUCACUCUCUCGUCACUCAGUAAUUAACUAUUUUUGUGUGAACUUUAUUUAGUAUUGUAAAUGUUUUUUAACUUAAUUAUGCACUUGCAUUUUGCUAUUUAA